rnacentral:lncRNA from 1 species
UAAUAGUACGAUUAACAUGUUCAUGGUAUUUGAUACACACAAUAUAACUUGCAAGCAUGUAAAAUUACACAGAUUUGAAUAAAAACAGGGGAUUUUAUUUUAUUUUAAUUUUAUCAUGUUUUUGGGAUAACAUGAAGGAAAAAGACCCAAAGCUAUAUAUUUAUUUUUCAUCAGUCAAAAGCAUCCCCCAUACUUAGGCUGAAAGUUGAUCCAUCAGCACUCAAACGGAACUGCUGAAGCCUUUAUUGUAAGCAUAUUCAAUAAGGGAAUCCAACUCAUCAUUGGUGCAGUCGAUCAAAUUGUCCUUAUUUUUAUCAGCAACGUCCAUGGCCUCUUCGACUUGCUUGUUUGGCGUGAGUGCACCUAGAUGUUGAAAAGCAUCCUUGAGCUGGUCCCUGGUGAGGCUGCCCUGCUUAGAGUAAGAUCGAAACACUUGUUCCAAUUUGUUUUUCUGAUCCUUGUUAUCCUUUGUGGCUUGCAUUGUGGAUUUUGAGGUUAUGACAGGGUGAUAUUAGAGAGAAGGCUUGCCUAGCUUGGUUUGGUUUUCUUUUUCCAACGCAAUUCGUUUAUAUAGACCCAAAACUUUGAACACGAUUCUGUUGAAGUGUAGGGGUAUAAAACAUUAUUUGGUGGUGGGUUUUAAAAAUUGAUUUCCGUCCUCUUUAUCAAUAAAAGUAUUAAAUCAAUCAAUAAAUUUUUGUAAUGAACACUUCAAAAAAAAUUCCAUGAGGAUUGGUACGAAUAAAAAUAUUAAUGUUAAUUUCUUCUUUUCUUCUGGCUUCAAAUUAACCACAGAUUGAAAAAUGCUAAAUAGCAGCCUCCACUAUCUUGUGUUUCGUUUAUUUUAGCCCUCAAUUUGCAGUUUAGUUUUAGUUUUUUUUUUUUUUUUUUUUUUUUUGUGGUUGCCUGAUUAAAUGAUACAUUUCGGUUUUAAUGAAUUUCCAGAAUUUGGUAGAUCUCGUGAAAGGAGUUCUAGAAAGCACUUUGAUGAGCAUGCUUGAAAUUUGUGAUAAUUUUUACUAAGAAUUUUUACAAGAAUAGAUCAUCAUUGCUAAUAUUGUGUGACAAUUUAACUUUUUUUUUGUUUUCAUUUUCGUUUUAUUUUUUUUUUAGUUUUUUUUCUCCCCUUUUUUUUUAUUAGAUCAAUUGUUUCAGCAAAAAAAAAAAAAAAAAACCCAAUGGAUAUGCCUAGAGUGUAACGAGCGACGUUGACCGAAUCGUGAGAAGCUUGACUUGAGGCUCGGAGCUCGACCACACCUCCGGGGCUCGAUACUAUGGCUCGAUUGUAUUGCGUGAUCGAAUCGAGCUAUUCGAGCUCGCUCGAUUAAGUUUCGAUUAAUAUGUUCAAAAAAAAGCUCGAUUCGUAUCUCGAUAAGAGUCUUGAUUUAAUUCAUGCUCGAAUUCAAAAAUCGAAUAUUUUAUUAAUUAAUAAUAAUAAAAAAUUUCUAAAUUAUAAGCUCGACUAAGCUCGCGAGCUACUCGAGUUAGAUAUAAGAAUACUCGAAUUCAGCUCGAUCGAUAAGUCGAGCUACUCGAGCUCGAGCUCGACUCGAUAAUAAUCGAACCGAAUUGAACCCGAAUAGCUUAUGAGUACUAAUGUAUCAUUUACACCCUUAGGUAUGCCCAUGUGCCAUCUUAUUUCAUUUUUUGCCUUUCAUUUUUUUUGUAAUUAGAUAAAUAUCACAAUAAAAAAAUCAGUAUAUAAAUUUUUUAAGAUAAAAAUCAAUUGACGUGUAGACAACAAAAUAUCUUGUAUCCUAUAUGUUUCGUUUCCUGUGAAUCCAAUCGGUGUGCUUUUUUUUUUUUUUAAAUUUAGGAUCAGAAGCCUUAAAAAAUAUGAAUUAUUACCCAAUUAUAAUAGCAUCAUCUACUAAAAUAAUUUUGUAAGAAACCUUUAUGAAGUAAGAAACGGAAAACUUAUAAUUGAAAAAUGAAUUAAUUAAUAGUAGGAUAAAAAAAAUUUAAAAGAUUACAAUUAGUAAUUUCAUAAUCAAAUAAAUGAUUUUUUUUAAAUUAUAUGUAUAAGUAUGUUUUCUAAACCAAAGCAAUGCACAAAUGACACCACAAAUUAAUCCUUUUAUAUAUGCCUUGCAAAUAUUUUAAUAAAAUUACAAAAAAAAUUUAACUAUUUCCAAAAAUAAAAUCUUGAUAUUUAUAAUUUUGCUAAACAAGUUAUUUAAACUUUUGAUAAUUAAAGUUAUCUUUAUAAAUGAAAUCCAACUUGAAAUCUUGCAACUAAUUAACCCAUUUUGAUAUUUCAAUUCUCAUCAAGAUAUAACUUUGUUUUGCUGCUGAGACCAACAACAAUAUGUACUUUAAUUUUUUUUGUCAAAUAGCCUCAAUUUUAUAAAAAUUAAUUUUGUCUAUACUUAUAUAUAUGCACGUGCAAAAACAUAUGCAUAAGUGUGUGUAAAAAUAAAAAGAAUUAAGCAUUUAAAUUAGAUUGAUAUAUAUAUAUAUAUAUAUAUAUAUAUAUACACUAUCUGCUUUCCUUCCGAAAAGGUUGACUUUCGAAUUUCUUCAAACCUUUUAUCAUGUUUUUAAGUAAUAACAAUAUUAGUGUAUAGUUUAUAAUAGUAUGAUCAACGUGUUCAUGAUAUUUGAUACACACAAUAUAACUUGCAAGUAUGUAAAACAACACAGAUUUAAAUAAAAAUAGGGGGUUUUAUUUUAUUUUAAUUUUACAUCCUUUCGAGACAACAUGAAAGAAAAAGACCCAAAGAUAUAUAUUUAUUUUUCGUCAGUCAUAAGCAUCCCCCAUACUUAGGCUGAAAGUUGAUCCAUCAGCACUCAAACGGAACCGCUGAAGCCUUUAUUGUAAGCAUAUUCAAUAAGGGAAUCCAACUCAUCAUUGGUGCAGUCGAUCAAAUUGUCCUAAUUUUUAUCAGCAACCUCCAUGGCCUCUUCAACUUGCUUGUUUAGCGUGAGUGCACCUAGUUGUUGAAAAGCCUCCUUGAGCUGAUCCCUGGUGAGGCUGCCCUGCUUAGAGUAAUAACGAAACACUUGUUCCAAUUUGUUUUUAUGAUCCUUGUUAUCCUUUGUGGCUUGCAUUGUGGAUUUCGAGGUUUAUGACUGGGUGAUAUUAGAGAGAAGGCUUGUCU